rnacentral:lncRNA from 1 species
AGAGCCCUAAACUACUGUACAGACAGUACGGAGUAUGAAAAAGAAGUACAGUACAUUCUAGACUUAGGAAUGAAGCAUGGAUACAGAAAAGGAUUCCUAUAUGCGAUUUUAGAAAAAGUUAAGAAUAACAAAAAAGAAGUAAGACCGCGUCAAGAUACAAAUGAUACCAGAGAACAGCAAUGCUCAGAAAACACACCUCAUAUUUAUGUGCCAGUUCCGUAUCAUUUAGCUAGAUGCCCGGCUGUGAAAAAAGCCAUUAACUUAGCCAACAACAAGUUAGCCAUACAAAGAAAUCCUACGAUCUUCGAAUGCCU